CAAACAGCACCCAUAUAUCCACUCUCAUAGACAGAUUCAUGACUCCAAACUAAACAACAUUACAACUUGGGUGUGGAGCUAGCAGUUAAUUCUUCAUAGGUUAAGCUCCCUACAAUGUCCUUUUUUCAAACCCCCGGCGUGCAAGAAUUUGAGCGACACUCCACAUGUUGAUGCUUCACUUCUGUGCAGUCUCUUUCUAGAAUGCCAAGUUACCGACCAUCCACUGCUGCCUGUGUGCGUGUCCCGCACAAGAACUAUACAAGUUAGUAUAACGCAAUGCUGUAUGCAAGCCUCCGCUUGUGCUGCUUCUCGAAUCCAGUAAUCAGGUCAUCGAUAAUUUCCUCCCAGUCACCAUCAAUUGCUUCAAGCUGAAAAGGGGAAAAAAAAUAAAUUAACUCCUUGUCGUUCACCAAAAAACAAGCACAGCUGAUUCCGUACACUCUAAUUUGUAGGCAGUAACUUUGCAAAACUGAGUAUUUGGCAUAGACAAACUAAGGUCAGUUGGUCA
rnacentral:lncRNA from 1 species